rnacentral:ncRNA from 1 species
UACCUGGUUGAUCCUGCCAGUAGUCAUAUGCUUGUCUCAAAGAUUAAGCCAUGCAAGUCUAAGUACGAGCUCUCGUACAGUGAAACUGCGAAUGGCUCAUUAAAUCAGUUAUGGUUCAUUUGAUCGUACAGUUUACUUGGAUAACUGUGGUAAUUCUAGAGCUAAUACAUGCGAGAAGCGCCGACCUCGCGGGAGGCGUGCAUUUAUCAGACCAAAAACCGGCCGCGUCUUCGGGCGCGUUCGCCUUGGUGACUCUGGAUAACUUUGCGGAUCGCACGGUCUAGCACCGGCGACGGAUCAUUCAAGUGUCUGCCCUAUCAACUUUCGUCGGUACGGUAUUUGCCUACCGAGGUUCUUACGGGUGACGGGGAAUCAGGGUUCGAUUCCGGAGAGGGAGCCUGAGAAACGGCUACCACAUCCAAGGAAGGCAGCAGGCGCGCAAAUUACCCAUUCCCGACGCGGGGAGGUAGUGACGAAAAAUAACAAUGCAGGACUCGUUCGAGGCCCUGUAAUUGGAAUGAGUACACUUUAAAAGCUUUAACGAGUAUCCAUUGGAGGGCAAGUCUGGUGCCAGCAGCCGCGGUAAUUCCAGCUCCAAAAGUAUAUAUUUAAGUUGUUGGAAU